CGCUCCGCAAGGAGAGUGGCAGACGGGCGAGUAACGCGUGGGAACCUUCCUAUUGGUUCGGAAUAGCUCAGGGAAACUUGGGGUAAUACCGGAUACGCCCUACGGGGGAAAGAUUUAUCGCCGAUAGAUGGGCCCGCGUCUGAUUAGCUAGUUGGUGAGGUAAUGGCUCACCAAGGCGACGAUCAGUAGCUGGUUUGAGAGAAUGACCAGCCACACUGGGACUGAGACACGGCCCAG
rnacentral:rRNA from 1 species